rnacentral:lncRNA from 1 species
UAACAUUCCUUUAGUCAUCUAGUGUUAAAGAACUUAUGCGAGUUUGCAAGAUUGUGGAAGAUUUAUGAGCGAGUUGUCAAGUAUCAUAUUGAGUGUUUAGUAAAAACCUGAGUAUGUGACAUACUGUCUUGUAUUAUUUGUUCAUUUUCUCCUUUAUAUAUCAUUUAAGAAAUUAUAAAUAAGAAAGGUAUUGGUACUUACUUACCAUUUAAGUCUUUUUAAUAUAUUAUCUAUUUAUGUGUCUUACCCAUCAAUAUCAAG